AGAGGUCCUACCUGCCCAGUGACUAUAGUUUAACGGCCGCGGUAUUUUGACCGUGCUAAGGUAGCGCAAUCACUUGUCUUUUAAAUGAAGACCUGUAUGAAUGGUGUAACGAGGGCUUAACUGUCUCCCUUCUCUGGUCAAUGAAAUUGAUCUACCCGUGCAGAAGCGGGUAUAUUUAUACAAGACGAGAAGACCCUUUGGAGCUUAAGACAACUAAGCCAACUGUGUCAAAAUCUUUAUUAAAACUAGACUAAACAAAACAGCAACUGACCAACGUCUUCGGUUGGGGCGACCACGGGGAAAACAAAGCCCCCACGUGGACUGGGAGUAUUCCUAUAACCAAGAGAUACACCUCUAAGUCUCAGAACAUCUGACCUAUGGAUCCGGCACAGCAAGCCGAUCAACGAACCAAGUUACCCUAGGGAUAACAGCGCAAUCCUCUUCAAAAGUCCAUAUCGACAAGGGGGUUUACGACCUCGAUGUUGGAUCAGGACAUCCUAAUGUGCAGCCGCUAUUAAGGG
rnacentral:rRNA from 1 species